GCCGCGGGAAAUCCAAUUUUUUUUUCCGCAUGAAUUCAAAAGUUCUUCGAUCCUAGGUUUUUGGCGAAGGUUCGAAUGGGGAAAGAGAAGUAGCACCAAGCAGUUUCUCAUUUGCUCGAGAGACGAGAGUUUUAAGCAGAGAGAGAAAGCGCGACGAAGAUGGAGGGUUUUUUCUCUGACUGCUUUCAUUUUAGUGAAACCCUAGUUCAAGUCAUGUUCGAGUGUUUCCAAUCAGAGAGAGAGGGUUUUUUCACCGAGUAGUUUCUCAUUUGCUCGAGAGACGAGAGUUUCAAGUAGAGAGAGAGAGAGCGACGAAGAUGUAGGGUUUUUUCUCCUAAUUGGUCACUCAAGUUCUUGCCCACUUACGCGGCUUUUUUUUCAAUCUGAACAUCAGAGGAAAUGGGUAUAGAGCAUGACCAAUCAGUUCUUGCCCCGACAACCAUUGCUGUCGUCGAUGGUCAAUCAUGGCAGAAGGGGCUACGCCCCGCCAUCAUCUUCCUCUGACGCCCCAGUUCGAGUCAUGUUCGAGUGUUUCCAAUCCACUCAACCGAAUCAAUCACUCAAGGGACUGCGACAACAUCAUUUUUUUUCUUCUGCGGUCUACAAAGCACCACCAGCCGGUGACCUUCUUUGUUUCCUACAACUGAUCGCGAAUCUUAGCUAUUAGCAGUACAAGUAAUAAAUCUAGAGGAGAUUUGUGUCAUCCAAGUGCCUAAACUGAUCCAUAUGACUUGAGCAAGGGUUUAUCAAAAAUCUGAGACCGAAUCAUUUCUUUCAAAAAAAGGGAUUUUCGAGCCGUGAAAGAUCGGUGUGGUUUGCAACUUACUUAGCGGUUCAGGAAAUAUUUUCUAACAAUUAAUACCCGAAGUGAUCAAUCAUCCACCCCCACACACCGCUUGGAGUUCUACUCUGAAAAGACCCAAAUAAAUUUGGGAGUUCUAAUCGAAACAACCUCUAGAAGCGAGGCUCAUUCAAGCAUGAGGGAUUGAAGCGAGAAAUCCAAUCAUUGACCUAACUGGGUAAUAUAUAUUCAAUCUCUUGUUUUUUUUUUUUUUGUUUCUUCCUCCACUUAUAAUUGAUCAUAAUAGUUUUUUCCCCACUCUUUUAUUUAAUCUGAUACGUAUCAUUUUUGAAAUCAUUGAUCAAUUUUUUAUUCAAGUUAAUUAUUUACUACUAUAUCAUGUAUGAGGUGAUGUUCAAUCAUUUGCAAGGAUAUGCAUUGUUGGGAGACAUCCAAACCAGUUGUCAUAUGUAAACUGCUGCUGCUAUCUACGGGCUCUAACCUUUGUAGUUCUAAGAAGAUAUGAACCUAAAUUUGAUGUUGUACACGAUAAACCAAAGAAUCUGAGCGCAAACAGGCAAGAGAAGAUUCAUUUCAACAUGUGAUGAGUGGAAUGGAUGACAGAAGUGAGCUUUCUACUGAUGAACAUCAAUUCAAGGAUGGAGGUAUGCAGUAUCAACCAACCAUCACAAUGAACCCAAUAAAGCUCCAGCGACAGAAACUACGACGGGCAAGGAGGGAACUUCAAAUUGCAGAGCUCAUCCACCAGAACAAAGAGUCUAAAAAGCAAAUGCAAGCAGCAACAAUUGAACAAUCCAAAUAGCUCAACACUAUAGCCAAGGGAAGGUACAAUAUAUGGAGGAGAGAAUACGAAAGUCCAAAUUCUGACUCCACCUUGAAGCUUAUGAGGGAUCAGAUCAUAAUUGUAUGCAUAUAAUGAAAAUUCCAGGUCUCAAAUCUGGGUGUGAACCUCAUAAGAGCUGUAAAUCAUGCAUUUGAUAAGGUCCAGGACUCUAGGUCUGGUUAUACGUGGAGCUAUCAAUUUCCAAUGCAUAGUUAAUGUGGUUAAGUGUGUGAUUAGUUGGAGGCAUCAAGGAAACGGUGAAGGAAUUCAAGAAAUAUUCCAAAGUUGAACAUUCAAAAGGAAGACAACUAUCAUUACCAAUGGCUUGUAUGGUUAAUAUGUCAAUUGGAUAUCGUUGGAAAGUUUGGAAGUUUUUGAGGUUCUUGUAGUGUUGAUAUGUCAAUUGGAUGUUGUAUUUGAAUAAUUUGUUUUUUGGAUUUUUUAAUGUAAUUAAUCUUUAAAUUACUAGAUGUUUU